CAGCCGCCGCGGGAAUACGAAGGGUGCAAGCGUUACUCGGAAUUACUGGGCGUAAAGCGUGCGUAGGUGGUGGUUUAAGUCCGUUGUGAAAGCCCUGGGCUCAACCUGGGAAUUGCAGUGGAUACUGGGUCACUAGAGUGUGGUAGAGGAUAGUGGAAUUUCCGGUGUAGCAGUGAAAUGCGUAGAGAUCGGGAGGAACAUCAGUGGCGAAGGCGGCCAUCUGGGACAACACUGACGCUGAGGCACGAAAGCGUGGGGAGCAAACAGGAUUAGAUACCCCCGUAGUCCCUGUCUCUUAUAC
rnacentral:rRNA from 1 species